UGUGCAUGGAAUUGUAAUUGGCCUUUUGUUAUGAUGGAGGACUCAUCAGCAACUAAGCAGCACUCGCUAGGCAAGGGUCAUGGGUUCCAAAACCCAGUGAAAGGAGAGAGGCUGGGGAUAGGUAUCAAUACUUGGUGGCAUGGGCCUCCUGGUGAGGGUCUUACAUGCUAAUUGCACUUCCUUUUCUUUUCACUGUGGAAUAUCAGAGCUAAUUUUGAUUCCAUUAGGAGUCUAGUUACAGGCUGCUGAGCUGAAUUCACUUUGGGUUAAUGGUGCACCA